rnacentral:rRNA from 1 species
GAAAGCUUGCUUUCUUGCUGACGAGUGGCGGACGGGUGAGUAAUGCUUGGGAAUCUGGCUUAUGGAGGGGGAUAACGACGGGAAACUGUCGCUAAUACCGCGUAGUGUCGAGAGACGAAAGUGCGGGACUGAGAGGCCGCAUGCCAUAGGAUGAGCCCAAGUGGGAUUAGGUAGUUGGUGGGGUAAAGGCCUACCAAGCCUGCGAUCUCUAGCUGGUCUGAGAGGAUGACCAGCCACACUGGAACUGAGACACGGUCCAGACUCCUACGGGAGGCAGCAGUGGGGAAUAUUGCGCAAUGGGGGGAACCCUGACGCAGCCAUGCCGCGUGAAUGAAGAAGGCCUUCGGGUUGUAAAGUUCUUUCGGUAUUGAGGAAGGUUGAUGUGUUAAUAGCACAUCAAAUUGACGUUAAAUACAGAAGAAGCACCGGCUAACUCCGUGCCAGCAGCCGCGGUAAUACGGAGGGUGCGAGCGUUAAUCGGAAUAACUGGGCGUAAAGGGCACGCAGGCGGUUAUUUAAGUGAGGUGUGAAAGCCCCGGGCUUAACCUGGGAAUUGCAUUUCAGACUGGGUAACUAGAGUACUUUAGGGAGGGGUAGAAUUCCACGUGUAGCGGUGAAAUGCGUAGAGAUGUGGAGGAAUACCGAAGGCGAAGGCAGCCCCUUGGGAAUGUACUGACGCACAUGUGCGAAAGCGUGGGGAGCAAACAGGAUUAGAUACCCUGGUAGUCCACGCUGUAAACGCUGUCGAUUUGGGGGUUGGGGUUUAACUCUGGCGC